AGAUGGAGUCUCGCUCUGCUGCCCUAGCCAGAGUGCAGUGGCGCCAUCUGGGCUCACUGCAAGCUCUGCCUCCCAGGUUCAUGCCAUUCUCUUGCAUCAGCCUCCGGAGUAGCUGGGACUUCAGGCACUGGCCACCACGCCCAGCUAAUUUUUUUGUAUUUUUAGUAGAGCUGUGGUUUCACUGUGUUAGUCAGGAUGGUCUCAAUCUCCUGACCUCAUGAUCCUAUUGUCUCGGCCUCCCAACGUGCUGGGAUUAUGGACGUGAGCCACCGCACCUGGCCCCUAUUGUAUAUUUCAUUUUGAUGUUCUUUCAUUUAGUUUGCACAAGGACAAGAGCAUCUGAUUGAAAGAUAUCUGUAAAUGUAGAAAAAUAAUACAACACUCUAUUAAUAUAGAUAAGGGAUGCAGUUUAGCAUCCACAGUCAAUGUUACAAAGUAGGAUAUUGCAGCAUUUUUCAUCGUGAAUCCCUUGACAUUCCAUCUGCAUGAAAACUCCCAGCUGCCAAGAAUAUUCCCGCUGGGUCUGCUAGAAAAACACCACGAAGCCCAUUGAUACACUCUAUUGGGGGUUCAUCUAAGAACAUUUUAUCAUAUUCUUCACGUUUAAGUAACUGCUUUUGAGGACCUUGCAAAUAUUAGUUCUGCUUAGUGAAUUCUGUCUGAUUUAUUAGAGAUAUUUGUGUCAAAGGGAGGUUACUCCAACUAGAACAAGGCCUUUUGACAUCAUACACCCCACUUUCCUUGCAAAUAUUAGUUCUUGAAAGUUCAUCACAAGUAGCACAGUGAGGUGACAAUUAUUACCAUGAUUUAACAGAUUUAAUGUCAGAGGCUUGAAUCCUGGAAUCUAUACCCAGCCUGCUCAUUCCAGAAUGUCUCUCCACCAUACCACUCUGCCUCUCUUUGUUUGCUACUGGCUGUGUAUGGCCAUGAUGAAGAUUGUGUGGGUGUAUAUCUGUCUGGCCUCCAAGGACACCAUCCAUGACUGAGAACCUCCUCUUGUUUUUUUCUUCUGAGUGCACUCUUUCAAUUUCACCCUAUAACUCAUUUGGAAAUGAUGGCUAUAGCUCUACUUAUUACAAGAAGUUAAUUUCACAAAACAGCAUUACUUUAGCAAUCUAUUUAAAGUAAAUUCAUCUGUAAUUUACUGUAAUACAGUAGGGGUAGCUUCAAAAUUAUCUCUUCCUUUCUGUGCUCUGAAUGUGAAUCCUAAGUCCACUAUAAUACAAGAAUUAUUUGGUAGACUUUAUUCCUUCUAAAAAUACAUAUUACCUAUUUUGAAAUGUAAUAUAUAUUACAUUUGAUAAUUAUUAUCAAAUACAUUGCAUUUAUUACAUUACAUGCAUAUUACAUGUGAAUUUGAAUCCUAGGUCCACUCUAAUAUAUAAAUUAUCUGGUAGAUUUUUUUCCAAUUAAAAAUGCAUAUAGCCUAUUUUGAAAGGUAAUACUCAGGAUAUUUGGUAGUGUAUUCUCAAACACAUCACACUUAUAUUAAAUGCAUAUUACAUUUAUAAUACCUAUCGAAUAUUAUAUAUUACAUAUUUUCAUUUUUCACAAUAGACUGUGCCAAGUCACAAAGUAAAUGUAAUUGGAAAUGUGUUUGAUCUUCAUUAAAGCUCUGUAUGAACAUGGUAGAAAAUUUCCAUUUUCUCCCCUUUUCCCUGUUCCCUUUUUCUGUAGUAUCCAGUCAUAAACAGCGCAUAUAAUUUGCCUCUUUAUUUAUGCUAGUUAGAUUUGAUAUUUUUCCUUAUAAAAUUGUUAAAGUUUCUUUGAGUAGAUUCAUUUUCUCCAUCUUAUCUUUUAAUCAUUGCUAAUGCUUAGAAAUGGCUUUAGAUUUAUUAAUUCUCAUGUGUUAAUUUGAUUGUCCUGAAUUGUCUAUGUAUUUAAUUAUAUCAUCUUUAAAAACAUAAUUAUAAUUCAUCCUUUCCAAAAAUUAUAUCUCUCUUUCCUUUUGAAGUCUUGUCUUAGUACAGGCUGCCAACUAAACAGAUAGGGUGGCUUAAACAACAGACAUUUAUUGCUCACAGCUCUGGAGGCUGGAAGCUGGCAGCGAGUCUCCAUGGCAGAUUGCCUUCUCUAGUUAGGGAUCACUUUCAGCCAAAAGUGUUGUUGUUUCUAUUGUCGCUAACAUUUACAUUUAUAACAAAUUUGGAAUUCAUAUUUUUUUCUAUUAUAUCAAUAUUUUGAAGACUUUAAUAAUUACUCAGAAGUCAUUGUGGGGUGGCUGGUCUUUCCCCCCCUCCCUUACUUCCUUCCUUUUUUCCUUCCUUCCCUCUCUCUCUUUUUUCCUUUUCUCUCACCCUUUUUUAUUCUUUGACUUCCUUCUCCCCCUUACCUCUCUUUAAUUCUCCUCCCUCCCUCCAUUCAUCAAAAGUAGCACAGUGAGGUGACAAUUAUUACUAUGAUUUAACAUAUUUAAUGUCAGAGGCUUGAAUUCUGGAUCUUUGAAUUUUUGAAACCUUGAAUCUUCUCUUCCUUCCUCUCUCUAUUUCUUCUCCCCCCCCUUCUUUUCUUUCUCUUUCCUUGCUUCCCUUUCUCUUUCUUUUUUGUACCUUCCUCCAUCCCCUUUUACCUUUCUUCCUUUCUUCCCUUCAAGGAGAGAACAUUUUCCUUUUGGAAUGCUAUAUGAUAAAUGUUUUCACUCAUUCAUGUCCUCUGCAGCCUAGUUUAGCUAUAAAAAUAAAGUUGUAGCAAGCUGCAGGUGAAGGGGCAGUAAGGAGACCUCAAUUUUAGUCCUGACACUUGCUUUCCUGCUGUGUGGCUUUGUAUCCUUAAUCUUUUGGUACUUAGUUUUCCAUCUGUUAGGCACAUUUACUCCUGUGCAAUAAUACGAAUAAUUUAUGACCUCUCUGCUCCUUAGUGAAUGUCCAUGCAUAUUUUAACAUGAGACUGGAAAUCUUUAGUCACAAUGUGAGUGCAAAAUUUACUAGACACCUUGUUGUAACUGGUAUUAUUGCCAUAUUACCUUUGUCUUAAUGUUCUUAAAUCUGCAGGCAGCAUUUCUCAAGAGCACUAUUUGUCUACCACCAGGAGCUGCAAUCUGUUCCUUUAGGUGUAGCAAGAGGAAAAGAUAAGUCCAUUCCCCUUUAAUGUACUACAUUUAAAAGCUCUCUUUUUGCAUUCAUCUGAGACAAAGGAUUAAAAUCAAAUUUAAAUGCAUUCAACAGACUUACAAAUGCCUUUUGACCUUCAGGUAUACGUGCUGAAACUUAUUUCACAACUGCGAACAUAAAUCUCAGAAUACAUUCUUUUCAUGACUGCAAUCAUAAAUGUUGGAAUACUUUUUUAUUACACAUGACUGAAACUUCAGGAACAAAAUUCUCUACCUCACCAUACCUUACGUUUAUUACCAUUAUCAAAUUUGUCUUUUUUGUAUUGAUUCAGUAAGUACUUAGUGAGUGCUAACAUACUCCUCUACUUGGCCAGAUUUAUCAAGGAAUGGAACAAAUAUUACAUUCUUCUGAUUCUGACCUUGUUCCUUUUCUCGUCUUCCCUUUUAUUGUUUUCCUAUUUCUCUUUUUUUUUCUUUUUCCCCCUCCCUGGAGUUUAAUCAAAUAAAUAAAUAAAUAAAAUCCUGGAAUCUUAGAGAAGGGAAAAUGAGAAACCAUCUUCCAAUGACAUUUCCCAGAUGUUGGCAAUUAGUGCUGUGUUGCUAAGUCCACUGUUCAAUGCUUAUUAUCUUACCUGGUCAAUUAGAACUCGAUGUAUAUUUAUUCCCUACAGCAACACCCUUGUGUUCGUCAGGAUUUCCUAACCUUGACUUCUGUUCUUCUUCAUGUUUGCUUUCUUUUAUCCCCUUGUCUUGGCCUUUCCUGUUCACUGGACCCGUUCAUGCUUGAGUUCUCUAAGUCAGUACUGCUCCUCUUCUUUACUAUGUUCCUGUCCUUAGGGAUCUCACCAACUAUCAUGACUUUAAAUCACAUUGGCAUAGUUUAUUUUCCCCACACUUACAAUUCCAGCUUAGAAUUCUCUUCUGAUCCCAGGCUCUGCACCCAACUGUCUCCUUAAAAUCUCCAUUUCCUGGUCUCUUGUACAUCCUACCCUCAACAGGUCAAAAAUCAUACUCUAACUCACCUACAGCCCUGCUCAAUUUACUUCCUUCCUCAUUCCAUUGUUUCAGUUGCUCAGACAAAAUCUUUGGCGUCUGUGUUCAUUCCUUUAUUUUUGUUGGUGUUUUUUUGCUUUUGAGACAGAGUCUCACUCUGUCACCUGGGCUGGAGUACAACGGCGCUAUCUUGGCUCACUGCAACCUCUGCGUUCUGGGUUCAAGCAACUGUCCUGCCUCAGCAUCCCAAGUACUACAGGCACACACUACCAUGCCCAAGUAAUUCUGUAGUUUUAGUAGACUAAAAAUCAUAGACACUAGGUUUAGAAGAGACUAGGUUUUGCCAUGUUGGCCAGGAUGUUCUCUUACUCCUGACCUCAAGUGAUCCGCCCUCCUCAGCUUCCCAAAGUGCUGGGAUUACAGGAGUGAGCCACCGUGCCAGCCUUUCCUCUCUUUGUUAAUUUCUCUCUUUUGCUCAUGGCAUUGUGUGCUCCACACACUAAAGGCACUUCUGUUGGUCUACCUUGGCAGACCCAUCCAUCAUUUCCCAGUUUUUGUUUUGUUUUGUUUUGUUUUGUUUAACUCAACAACCUCUUAACAGACCUAUCUGCUUCUCGUGUGCCGUGUCCUUGUCUCAACACAGCAGUCAGGCUUAUCUUUCAGAAAACAUGAGGUUGUAUGCAUCAUUCCUUUCUCAGAAUGCCACAAUAACUCAUAUAGCCUUUAGAAUAAAAACCUAAGUGCUCAGCAGCACCAUAGGUCUGAUACUCCUGCCCCCUUUCAUCUAUGAACUUCUCUCCUCUUAGCCACACUGGCCCCCAGGUUUCUGUUCAAAUAUCCCUGUAAGGCUUUUCUAUCUGGGCUUUGCCUUAGCUAUUAAUUCUUUUUCCUGAAAUAUUACCAUCCCUCUCAAAUAGAACCUUACUGAACUUUCUCACCUCUUCCUAAAUCUUUGCUCAAACAUCCCACUUUCAAUGAGACCUGCCCUAAUCGCUCUUCUGAAAAUUGGACACCCCGCCCCACCUUUUAUGUUGUGAUCACCCUCAUGCUGCUGUAUCUUUGUUAUUUUUGCAUAGCUCUCCACACCUUCUAAAAUACUAGAUAACUUUAUUGUAUUGUCAAUAUGUGUAAUAUUACUUAUCUAGUAUUCUAAAAUACUAGAUACCUGGUUUUCUGUAAUCUGUGUCUAGUCGCAAAGAUAAUUUUCAUAAAUGUGGGUGUCUUUCUCAAUCUAUCUUAUCAACUGUAUUUCUAACAGAUAGAAAAUUGCCUGGAUGUAUUUACGGUUCUUUAAACUAUAUUGAAUUAAUAGAAUAAUACAUUUAAAAGCAUUGAAUUUUGGCCAAGUAUUAGGAUGGCUAUCACAAAGUUUUUCCUAGCUAUGGCACAGUAUCUUAGUGCUAGGAGUAUGGAGACCAGCUAGUUAUACAAGAGGGACUUUUAUUCAGUAACAUGUAAGUUCAACAUUUUAAAAAUUAAUGUGAAAAAUAUACAUAUAUAUGUUUAUAUGCAUACAUAUGUAUACAUGCAAGCAUACAUAUGUAUAUAUACACAUAUACAUAUAUAUGAUACAAACACAUACACACACACACACACACACACACACACACACACAUAUACAUGUGUUCCCUCCGCAGGCUCUAGGAGAGGAUCCUUCCUGCCAGCUCCUGGUGGCUGCAGGAGUCAAGGGCUUCUGGCUGCUUCACUCCAGCCUCUGCCUUCACCUUCAUGUGCUCUUCUCCUCAGUGUCUGUGUCUCCUCUUCCUCUGUCUCUUAUAAGGAGACUUGUCAUUGCAAUUAGUGCCCAUGCAAACAAUUUAGAAUAAUCUAAUUUUCCCAUCCUUAAAUGGAUUACAUCUGCACAGACCUUCCUUUCAACUAAGGUCACAUUCACAGUUUCCAAGCAUUCGGACAUGAGCAUAUGUUUUAGGAGGCUACCAUUCAACCCAUGCCCAUGAACACUAAAAUGCAGAAUCAUAAAUGAACACCAUGGAGCCCACCUCCAUCUCAAGCACUGGUGCAGCACCUGCCUCUGAGGUUAUAGAAUAUUGCCUGGAUGUAAUUCUUGAUUAUGAAAUUUUACUUAUUUAAUAAAACAAUAAAAUUCAAAGGCAUUCAAUUUGGAUCAAAAAUCAGGUUAGAUAUUGUAAAGGUCUUCCUAAUGUGGUGAAUUGGUGGCAG
rnacentral:lncRNA from 1 species